GAUGACGCUGGCGGCAGGCCUAACACAUGCAAGUCGAACGGUAGCACAGAGAGCUUGCUCUCCGGUGACGAGUGGCGGACGGGUGAGUAAUGUCUGGGAAACUGCCUGAUGGAGGGGGAUAACUACUGGAAACGGUAGCUAAUACCGCAUAACGUCGCAAGACCAAAGAGGGGGACCUUCGGGCCUCUUGCCAUCAGAUGUGCCCAGAUGGGAUUAGCUAGUAGGUGGGGUAACGGCUCACCUAGGCGACGAUCCCUAGCUGGUCUGAGAGGAUGACCAGCCACACUGGAACUGAGACACGGUCCAGACUCCUACGGGAGGCAGCAGUGGGGAAUAUUGCACAAUGGGCGCAAGCCUGAUGCACCCAUGCCGCGUGUAUGAAGAAGGCCUUCGGGUUGUAAAGUACUUUCAGCGGGGAGGAAGGUGUUGUGGUUAAUAACCGCAGCAAUUGACGUUACCCGCAGAUAAAAGCACAGGGCUAACUCCGUGCCAGCAGCCGCGGUAAUACGGAGGGUGCAAGCGUUAAUCGGAAUUACUGGGCGUAAAGCGCACGCAGGCGGUCUGUCAAGUCGGAUGUGAAAUCCCCGGGCUCAACCUGGGAACUGCAUUCGAAACUGGCAGGCUGGGAGUCUCGUAGAGGGAGGUAGAAUUCCAGGUGUAGCGGUGAAAUGCGUAGAGAUCUGGAGGAAUACCGGUGGCGAAGGCGGCCUCCUGGACGAGACUGACGCUCAGUGCGAAAGCGUGGGAGCAAACAGGAUUAAUACCCUGGUAGUCCACGCUGU
rnacentral:rRNA from 1 species